CCUCUGUAUAAUUUUCAUACUCAACUUUAAUAAUCUGUCUUAUUUAGAAUUUUUUUAUAGAUUAGUAUUUUUAUUGUUAUGAGAUGUUAAAAUAUGAAUAGUAGUUUAUAUGUGACUUAUGUUUUUUAAAAAAAUUUUAAAAAAAAUAAAUAAGAAGAACGGUCAAAAUUAUGCACGAAAAAUGAUAGCUGCAUUUAAA
rnacentral:pre_miRNA from 1 species